UGUUCUGGAAGUGAUCUUGAUGGAGAUAUUUACUUUGUUUGCUGGGACCCCGAGUUGAUUUCUCGCAAUCAAAUCCAACCUAUGGAUUAUACCCCAGCACCAACUAUAAAGAUGGAUCAUGAUGUCACAAUUGAGAGAGCAUGGUAAAGCAAUGAGCCCUCCAUGCAUAAAGCUCGUGAAGCUAUUUUCAAUUGUUGACAGAACAGCAAACAUGGAAGAUAAGCAAGGGGGAGAUCAAUUGGAGCAAGCUGAUGAGGCCC